rnacentral:rRNA from 1 species
UACGGGGGGGGCAAGCGUUGUUCGGAAUUACUGGGCGUAAAGGGUUCGUAGGUGGCCAACUAAGUCAGACGUGAAAUCCCUCAGCUUAACUGGGGAACUGCGUCUGAGACUGGAUGGCUUGAGUGCAGGAGAGGAACGCGGAAUUCCAGGUGUAGCGGUGAAAUGCGUAGAUAUCUGGAGGAACACCGGUGGCGAAGGCGGCGUUCUGGACUGUAACUGACGCUGAGGCGCGAAAGCGUGGGGAGCAAACAGG